rnacentral:rRNA from 1 species
CCGAGGCAACGUCAGGUAUGGUUUACAUGGGUUUAGGAGUUACGAAACUCUUUAAGGAUCCUUCCGUAGGUGAACCUGCGGAGGGAUCAUUAAAGAGUUUCGUAACUCCUAAACCCAUGUAAACAUACCUGACGUUGCCUCGGCAGGUCGCGCCUACGCUUACCCUGUAAGUCUUACCCUGUAAGUCCUACCCGGUAGACGCCGGUAAGCCUGCCGGCGGCCCGCGAAACUCUGUCUAGUAUUGAAUUCUGAACGUAUAAAUUAAAAAGUUAAAACUUUCAACAACGGAUCUCUUGGUUCUGGCAUCGAUGAAGAACGCAGCGAAAUGCGAUAAGUAAUGUGAAUUGCAGAAUUCAGUGAAUCAUCGAAUCUUUGAACGCAUAUUGCGCCCAUUAGUAUUCUAGUGGGCAUGCCUGUUCGAGCGUCAUUUUAACCCUUAAGCCUCUGUUGCUUAGUGUUGGGAGCUUACGGCCAUAGUAGCUCCUUAAAGUUAGUGGCGGAGUUGGUUUACACUCUAGGCGUAGUAGAUUUUAUCUCGCCUAUUAGUUGGACUAGUCCCUUGCCAUUAAACCCCAUUUCUUAAGGUUGACCUCGGAUCAGGUAGAUGAAUAGCCUACUGACUGUACUUCAGCAUAUCAAUAAGCGGAGGAA